rnacentral:tRNA from 1 species
GACCAGGUAGCUUAGUUGGUUAGAGCAUUAUUCUGAUACACCAAGGUUUUAGGUUCAAUCCCUGGUCAGGGCU